rnacentral:rRNA from 1 species
GAUGAACGCUUUCUUCUUUCCUAAUACAUGCAAGUCGAGCGAACAGACGAGGAGCUUGCUCCUUUGACGUUAGCGGCGGACGGGUGAGUAACACGUAGGUAACCUACCUAUAAGACUGGGAUAACUUCGGGAAACCGGAGCUAAUACCGGAUAAUAUUUCGAACCGCAUGGUUCGUUAGUGAAAGAUGGCUUUGCUAUCACUUAUAGAUGGACCUGCGCCGUAUUAGCUAGUUGGUAAGGUAACGGCUUACCAAGGCAACGAUACGUAGCCGACCUGAGAGGGUGAUCGGCCACACUGGAACUGAGACACGGUCCAGACUCCUACGGGAGGCAGCAGUAGGGAAUCUUCCGCAAUGGGCGAAAGCCUGACGGAGCAACGCCGCGUGAGUGAUGAAGGUCUUCGGAUCGUAAAACUCUGUUAUUAGGGAAGAACAAACGUGUAAGUAACUGUGCACGUCUUGACGGUACCUAAUCAGAAAGCCAAGGCUAACUACGUG